rnacentral:rRNA from 1 species
UACGAGGGGGGCUAGCGUUGCUCGGAAUCACUGGGCGUAAAGCGCACGUAGGCGGAUUGUUAAGUCGGGGGUGAAAUCCUGGAGCUCAACUCCAGAACUGCCUUCGAUACUGGCGAUCUUGAGUCCGGGAGAGGUGAGUGGAACUCCGAGUGUAGAGGUGAAAUUCGUAGAUAUUCGCAAGAACACCAGUGGCGAAGGCGGCUCACUGGCCCGAUACUGACGCUGAGGAGCGAAAGCGUGGGGAGCGAACAGG